rfam:Carnobacterium iners strain LMG26642 genome assembly, contig: Ga0073236_12
GGCCGUAUGGCAAUGGAGAACUUACGAAUCGUGUCAGAUCCGGAAGGAAGCAGCACUAAGUUUGCUUGUCCAUGUGCUGUACGUACAUA